rnacentral:rRNA from 1 species
GAACGUUGGCGGCGUGGAUUAGGCAUGCAAGUCGCACGAGACACCAAUUAGCUUGCUAAGAGGUAGACAGUGGCGCAAGGGAGAGUAACGCGUGGUUACUUGCCCUCGAGACCGGGAUAGUGUCGGGAAACUGGCAGUAAUACCGGAUAACAUCUUCGGAUCAAAUGGUGUGAUUCCGCUCGAGGAUAGGACCGCGUACUAUUAGCUUGUUGGUGAGGUAACGGCUCACCAAGGCUGCGAUGGUUACCGGGUGUGAGAGCAUGGCCCGGCUCACUGGGACUGAGACACUGCCCAGACACCUACGGGUGGCUGCAGUCGAGAAUCUUCGGCAAUGGACGAAAGUCUGACCGAGCGACGCCGCGUGCGGGAUGAAGGCCCUCGGGUUGUAAACCGCUGUCAGUAGUUAGGAAAUCCAUGGGGGUUAUCCCUCAUGGUUGACCGAUCUUCAGAG